AAGAACAAAGUCCGUGUCACUACAGCCACAUGGACUGAAGAGAGACUGAUGGUUUGCCAGAAAGAAAUGGGGUAUGAUUAUCAGAUAGACAAUAGGAGGCAGCUUCACCUAUCACCACUGCAAGUAGCUACAUUUAUUGAAUGUAUGAGCCAGGCACUGUAAUAAUUUUAUGCAUUAUCUCAUUAAAUCCUCACUGCAACCUCAUGAGGUUUCUACUUUUAUUUCUACUUUACAGAUGAGGAAAAUGAGCUUCAGAAAGAUUGAGGCGCAAGUUUAUAUAGCUGUGAGGUGGUAUUUGAGUUCAGAUUUUACAUCAAAGGAAAGUGUCAGAAAAAAUAGAUUAUAGGAGGAGCCCAGAUGGUGUGACAUGGGGAGAGACAAAGCUACGAGGUGGCCAAAGACAUGAAGGAGUGUAAGAAGUCAAAUUUCCUUGCCCCCAUCCUCAGCCAUUUCCCAAAAGGCCAGCUCUUGGUGUAUCACAACAGAAUACCCUCAUAUUAAGCUACAGACCAUUAUUAAACUUUAUACCAUCCUGACUCUUCCUUGAGAGACCACAUCCUGCAACACUCUCCUCUACAAUACACACACUUCUCCACCAAAGCAACUUGCAUCCUGGGCCUUCAAAAGAUUUACUGCCAAGCAGACAAAUAAGUGAAUACUCUGCAGUUGACUCCAAAGACAGGAUGCUCAUUUGCAUGAGUAGUUGUGUGUAAUUUGCAUUAUGUUUGCAUGUCAUUUGCAUAUCACGUCUGCCCUGUCAAAAUGUACAUAAAUCCUUUAUGCUUUCACUUUUUUUAUUUUCUAAAAAGAGCUACACCCCCACAUCUUGCCCAGACUGUCUGGCAAAAUUACUGGUUGAGUAUUCCUAGUUUGAUUGUGAAGAGCCUCAUGUGCC
rnacentral:lncRNA from 1 species